AGGGGGAGAGCCAUGUUUGAGAAAACGAGACACAGAGGAAACGAUGGAGCAAAACGGAUUAAGCUGGAGAAACGAGGAGACGCCAAAGAGGCAAAGACAUAAGAAGGUGAGCAAAGGGACAAAAUAAAGGAAAGAGAGAAGAUGACAGCUGGCAUUGGGGGAAGGGGGGGGGGGGGUAAAUAAAAAACGAGAAAAUGUAAAAAUGCACACAAUAGAACUGUUAAAAGGCAGAAAUUAAGUGAAGGAGUAAGACAACAAAAAGAGACACGCGCGCAAAGAGGUAGUAUGACUCCACUCGUGUGUUAGUCCCCUGUGCUGCCUCUCAGGGAAGCUGCAAAUAACUAAAUUUAGAGCACACACACUCACACACCAACCACUAUUUCACUAUUUAAUCAGGUUGCUUCAGUACAAGCAUGAGAGUUAUUGUCCAAUAGUAAAUACACACACACACACACACACUGGUUUAACCUUCACCCAUGAAGGACACACGCAUACACACAUUGACAGACAUAAUAAACAAGAGUGGCUGAUAGAGAUCACACAAACAAACGUAUCUGAACUAAAAGCAGGUUAAGGCCAAACCAUCAAAUACAGGGAUGAGAGAGCACAUUCAGAAUGUACUUUUCAAUGUGGGGUGGGGGGGAUGGGGGGUUAGUUGCUUAGCCCACUGCCACUGUGACCAGAAAGUGGAACAAAAUGGAGCUGAAAAUAACAUCAAAAGAAGUCCAAAGAUUCAAGACAUAAGUAGAGCUCCCCGUCAGAACCUUUUAACAGAGAUGAGGGAAAAGUCACAACUUUUAACUCUGCUGCUAUCAUCAUUACAGCUCAUGGUUUUCAGUUUAUUUGUAUCAUUUUGAAUGUAAACUUAAAUUUUCAUGAUUGUUGAAUGAUUUUAUUGUUUUUCCUGUAAUUAGUUGAUCAUGAUUACAAUCAUAAUAAAACAGAGGACAAAGAUUUUAGACAAACAAAAAAUGCUUUUUAUCAACUCACUCAAUUUGCAAACAUGAACAAAAUUGCACAAAAUUAUUACCUGAGAACUGAGAAAGGUUUUAUCUUUAAAUUUUGCUUUUUUUUGGUUCAGAGUUUUGUUCAGUUUUUGUGCAUAAUAGAACAACAUAUAAAUAUAACAAUACAAACAAUAUAACAAAACAUUCCCUUUAAUUACACACAAUAGUUUGGGGAAAAUAAAGUCAACAGUGCAAAUUAAAAAAUAAAAGGGCACAUAAUUAAACAAAAGCAUAAACAACUAUUGGCUCUCAAUCACAACUUUUAGCUUUUUCCCCUAAAGCACUCCUGUGUCCAAGCAAUUAUUCCUUGAAUGGUCCACUUUCGGGCCCUGUCCUCAUGUCGAGAACUACAGAUUUAUAGGUUUUUGUUCAGAAACAAUGUUUUUCCCUUUUAUUGCACUUCUUCUCAAACUCACUGUCUUGCUUUAGAGAAAAUCCUUUCUGCGGGUACAGAUGUCACAAUUACUCCCAGGUGUUUCUUGGCAAAAUUUGCUCAGAAAGGGAAAUGUUGGCUCAUUCAUUUUCCACUAAGGAAGUGGGUCUGCAUCCCCUGGAAUUGGUUUCUCCUUCAAGAACCGGCGCAUUUCAAUUAAGUCAUCAGAGCCAGUUGUGCGCUGCUGCUAGGAUGCAAGGACUUGAGUGCCGAACUCUGUCCAUAUCCCACCUUUUGCUGCAGGUUGGGAUGAAGAAGCCCCAGCAGGAGAGCUUGAGGGAGUUGCAGGAGCUAUUGCUGAGACAGAGCUGGUGGCAGAGCUUGUGAUUGGUUCAGGAACUGAUACUGAAGGGAAUGAGGUCUGGGUCACUAUUUGCAUUUUAGUAAUUAGUCUUAUUUCAAAGUUUCAGCAUUUACCAUGUCACGAAACCCCAAGUUUUUAAAUCUUAUCACCAGGUAGGUGCUGACAGCAAGACCAUAAAAGGUUUUGAUACCUCUAAAAUGGUGCUGGCAUUGUGCUGACAGCUCAGCUUGCUAGCUUAGGACUCAUGAGAUGCGGUCAUUCUUUGAAGUAGUGUAACCAGGGGAACCACUUUGACACUGAAACAUGUUUUUCAGUUGUAACUCUCAUGUCACCUCUUCAAAUGGUCGCAGGGCAUCAAUGGAGAGACUAAUUAUGGACCAAUCUUCCUCACUCGAGCAGAAUGAGCUGUUUCCAAGGAGACUAAGUACUGUAGUUACAGCGUCCUUUUGCUGAAGUAGUCUCUGAAACCUGUCGAACACAGAAUUCCACCUUGUUUCAACUGAUUGUAUCAGUUCUGGGAACUUUAGUUGUUUCUGAUUUCUAUGAGCUUCACUGUUGCAUUUGUGCUGUGGUGAAAGACCACUAUUAUCUGUUAUUACAGCCUUAACUUAAGCAUUUAUGUCCCAUUCGUCAGUGACUAUUUUUUUAAAUUCCAAGCAAAAGUUGUCAGCACUGUGUUUUUCUGAAAAACUACUGGUUUCUAGGACCUACACAUUUGCCAGUCGUCAUCAAUGAUAUGGCAUGAGAAGGUUAAGUAAGCCUUUGUGGCUCUUGAUGUCAACAUAUCAGUUGUUAACACAACAGUGUUUGCAACAUCCAAAAAGAAAGAGGUUGUAGGUCCUUUACAAUCAUUUAAGUACAGGGUGUUCUCGUCACGCAAGUAUCGAUCAACAACAAUACCAACAUUAGUACCGAUGCUGUGGAAUGAUCCACCCACCACUACCUGUUACCACUUAUCUCUUGGUUUAACCCAUUGAUGGAUUUAUUGAUUGAAAAAUUAUUUAUAUUUACAACAAAAAAAUACAUGAGAAGAGUUCAAUACGUCACUCAUGAGUGGUAUUAGAAAACUCUAAACUCAAGCAAAUAAUUCACACCAAUCAGCACAGAGAUACCUCAUUGACGUUUGUCAACAAUGGAUGAGCAGAGGUUCAUGUGUCUGAAGAAUAGAAGGUAAACCUAUCCUGAUGUCAUUCAUGGCAAGCUGAAUUUUAUGAUAUUUAUUAUUGAGACAGAAUAAUAAAAAAAAAAGCUUGCCUGGAAUGAAGUCAGUGAAUAAGUUGGAUCACUGCUCAGUUAGCUAUUAAACAUAACAGAUCAAUAUGGUUAAAAUAUGAUCAGUCCCCUGUAAACAUAGUUGCAUGACUUGUAAUUUAAAAAUGAAGUAAAAAGAAAAAAAAAAGUGGAAGACAGUGAAAAAAACAACAACUUUAAUUUAUACAAAUUGACACAACAGUAUAUUUUGUUCUGAUUUGUUAAAAAGUAAUCCUUCAUAUAAAGUUAUGACUCUGAUUCUUGGAAAAAUGAAUAAACCCAGACUCUAAUCCUUUUCAGCUUCUGGCUGAAACACUUUCCAUUGCUUCCACUUACAUGAAGUUGGACACACCUGUGAGUGUUACUAUUUACACAGCACUGCAGUCAGGACACAACCAGAAAGUCAUGCCAGUCUAAGGAUGGCCAUUAGCCCUUACUGCUCCAUUUAGCCAUGCUACCAUGUGUUGGUGCCGCAGUAAUAACAGAUGGAGCCUCCCUGUUGUUUACUAUCAUUUGAGAUGCAAAUCCAGCUUCUAUUGGUCUGACCAAAACAAACAUCUUUGUUGUUGCCUAACAACACAAAAACUUCCCACUGUUUUCUUGUGUCUGUGUCUUUGUGAAGCUUUGAGUUUUCUUCACAUCCAAAAGAACAUUUCUGAGACUUAGUGAAUUUGUACAGAGCAGAAUGAAGAAAAAAGUUGGGCGGUCAAACAGACUUCCCAGGUUGGGGUGGGUAUGUCUUUGUAAGGUCCCAAUAGAAGCGUAUUGGUCAGAUUGGAGCCACAAUUUAAAUGAGCUGUUCAUAUACCAUAUAAAACGUGCAGAUGUUAGUUCACUAUAUAUAUUUGAAGUUAUUGAACUUUGCUGCAGUUCAGUCCAAUGCUGUUAUUUUAUAUAACAGUUUGAAAGUAUAGAAAACUUAACAGGUGUUUUUUAACCAACUCUUUUUAACUUAUAGAAAAUCACAGUUCAGUCAUCAGAGAGAGACUCACAUAAAGAAAAAGGCAGGCAUCUAUCAUGUUUGUAUAAAUAAAAGAAAAGAGAAUGUGUUUGUUCUAGACUUUUCUCACAAUGACAAUCAAUUUUGAAUUACCCAUGGGAUCUGUCUACUUGCUGGUUUCGUGCUUGCCGCUCUUCACCUUAUCUCUAUCACACACAUUCAGGCACACACUCAACUUUCUCGGCAGCCCAGAGAAGCAUACCACCAAAUCACUUUCUGUUAUCGUCAAAGUCAGUACUUUCAACCAUAGCGUGUCCAAACCUUUCUUCCUGUGAACUCACUUCCCUUCUUUGUUCUUUCUCAGGCCGUUCUCUCCAACGGCUUGUUGUCAUUUCAUCCAUAUUUUGUGAGUUGGAAAACAAUAUUCUUUGUGCAUUGCUUCAUAAAUUGAGGGGAAGUAACAUCAAUACAUUUCUCAGACAAAGCGAAAGCCUAUUGGCAGAAAAACAAAUAUGCAAGUGGAAAAAUGCUGUAUUAUUGAGACGUCCAUUUCUAACAGCACAGUGGGGCUGUCAGACUCUUUUUUUAAUCGUGUCUAGUUGCUGUCAAGCUUGUAGGACAGGGGCACAAAGUACAGGCAGUAGCACUGAGGAUGUAUGGGAUUAAUCUGCUUGUACAAGGGUUUGAUCUGGUGCUUAUAUCUACGUAAAUGUUGAUCAAAGUCUCUGACACAUUGAGGAAGAAAAUACUGCUCUAGUCAGUCUGGCACACUUUUUAAGACUGACUUAACUCAAAAAUGCCAAGUCAAUAAGCUUAUACAGGGAGCAUAUGGAUGAAAGUUUAUGAAUGAAUGAUACCUCUCGAAGCAGUGACAAAAUCAAGAGCAAAAAAUGAAAAAAGUGUUUUUUAGUCUGAGUUAUUUUAUCACCAAAAGCCCAAAUUUUCCAGGUUUCAGACAAAAAAUAAUGGGUUGACACCUUUUUUUUUUCUUUUUUUUUUUUUAAACUAAGAACAAUGAUUAGUGGCCAUAGUGACAGUUAUAAAUAAUGCCAGCUAAAAAAAAAGUCAUAAAGAAGCUUUACCCAACAUGAAGUAAGGGAUAGAGCCUGACUCACGCAAACAAAGAUAUAAGAUACCAAUACUGCUGGUGCCUAGUGUUUUAGGUCUUUCAUUGUCUUAUUUUUUACUUGUCAGAUGAUCUCAAUUGGAAAGUUGUUCUUUGGUGUAAAGCCAUAUAAUUAUUACUGGAUUUCAAGAUUCCACUUUACAGAAUUGGAAUAUGUAGUCUUGGUCAUUAGAAGAAAAAAUUGUGGUGAGACACCUCCAUCUCCUGUUUUAUUUUGGUUGAACGUCCUGUUUUUCCUUGUUUCCCUGGUCUGGCUUGACUGUGUUUCAGAGCACGCUCCCUCUCCCCGGUCGCUGAGGCUGAGAGAGACUCCACACCUGCACUGCAUCUGCAAUCAAGGCCCUUAAAGAAGCCAGCAGCCCUCAGUCUCAGCGCCUGAGUAUUGUUUUCGCUCCUGAGCGGUACAGAUGCUUCUCCCAGCCUUCUCCUCGGCUAAGUGCUCAUGAUUUUUGCUCCCUGUGAUUCCUCGUAUGUCUUCUCACCUCUUUCUCUUCUGCUUCUCCACAGUGUCUCCAGCCCACACAACAGUCAGCCAGCCAAACCGGACUUCCCUCGUGC